AGACAUCUGUUCCUCGGAUGUGAUCUUUCGUAUCACAUUCGAUUUCAGAAUGUCUUAAAUUAAGUGGGCUGCUUCACCCAGAAUUGUAUUAUAUGUUUACACUGUUUGGUUUUUGCGGGCCCAAACAAAU